AUCAGUUCGGUUUGAACUGUUGAGCGAAUAGCAAGUGUUUUCGGUCGAUUCGUUUGCCUGGCUUGCGUUCAGGAAGCAAAAUCGCGAUUAUUUCCAAUCUACCCGCGACGUCCAUGUGUGCUCUCGUACCAACACUUGUUCAAUAGGUACCUUGUUCAGCAAUACGGGCACUGUGCGUGUGAAUUUCGCGUGCAGUUGUGUUUGUGGGCAAAGUGCUUGUACCUGAUUGUGUCAGCUCGUUAUUAUACUCGGUAGAUCGCCAACUAAACUAGCAUUGGAGGAUUGAAUCGAGAACGAGUAUCGAAUUAGAAGUUUUCAGCGCGGGUUUGACCUUUAAAGUAAUACUGCAUUUAAACUUUGAGUAUAAAUAGUUCUGAAGUUUCUGGUGAAAAGUGCAUCCAUAAUAUGUGGAGAACAUCUGUGGAAUCAAAAGUGACUUAUUUGAAUCGCCAUCUUGGGUUUGUGUUGAAUAGUCAUUAGGAAACUAGCCAUACGAAAUUGGCCACUAUCAGUAGCGUGGUCAGGUUUAAAUAAUCCUUGCUUGAAGUGAUUGAUCCUUGAGGAGAAGAUAACAGUGUGUCUAAGCUUGCCAAACGAACAAACAAAACGAUCCAAUUAUUUCAAAACAAGCAGAUAAACAUGUAUCCAUCACGAGGAGGAGCGUCGUCAGCUGAAGGUUUCACGCACCUUUCCCUUCCAGAAGGGCAGAACAAGCAGGAAAAAGUUUCCACCGAUAGCGGAGCGAUAGAUUCGGGCUUCCAUUCCGGCCAGAAUUUCAGUUCAGAUAACCUGUUCAGCUCGACAUCGUCAGUGCAACCGGAAGCUCCAGUGGAGUUGCUCUAUCACUCCGGAAAUCAGAAGCAACCGGUGCAGCAACAGGAGGAAGAUUCUCGUACCUUCGAUUCUGGGGUGGAUCUCGACUCCAGCCAGCAGUCCCGUUCGGCAAACCCAGUAAGCAGCACCGAUCCAAUGAAGGUGGACGACCUGUGCAUCAGUUUGCGACAGAUGCACCUGAAGUUCAAGGAGCAGCAACAUGCCAUGCACCUGAUGAAAUGGGAAAAGUAUUUCCAUCAGAACGACGACGGUGAUACCUACCUCCAUCUAGCCGUCAUUCACGAGGCCACCGAGGUGGUAUACAAUUUGAUCCAUGCGGCACCACGACCUUGGCUGGACAUUCAGAACGACAUUGGCCAAACGCCGCUGCACCUUUCGGUGUUGACCGGGCAGCCCAAGAUCGUUCGCAAACUAGUAGUGGCCGGCGCAAAGACCGGAAUUCGUGACGUCGAAGGAAACACUCCACUGCAUUUGGCCUGCCUGCAUCGAAGGACCGACUGCGCAAAAGAACUCCUGACCCCGCUGGACGCCCUGGAACUCCAGCAAAGCAGCCACGCCGCGCAGUUAGCGAUCAAAAUUCCACAAGAUCUUGAACAGUGGAACUACAAUGGUAAACGAUGUGUUCACAUUGCCGCUGAGACGUCCAACAUUGAAAUUCUUCGGCAUUUGGUCAGCGUUGGGGCCGAUAUUAAUUCUCGGGAGGGCAAAUCGGGCCAGACGCCGCUCCACAUUGCCAUCGAAUCCAGCAACGAGCAAUUGGCGAACUUCCUGCUCGACGAGUGUCCCAAACUGCGGAUCGAGCAGGUAACCUACGCCGGCCUUACCGCCUACCAGCUGGCGGCCCUCCAGCACAACCAGACUCUGCUGAGCUGGCUGAAAAAACACGGCGCGGAACCCCUCACGCCGCCGGAGAGCGACUACGAGGAAGAGGAUAGCGAAGAAGACGAACAGUAAUCGCUUCUCCAGCCGCUACUACUACUACUAAGUUAUCCUUAUCUCUCUGUGUAUGUGUCUGGCAUCCCUCCUAUCUCAUCAGUGUGGUAUCUUGGUGACGAUGUCAUCGUAUUACGGAGCCAAUGCAUUUGGUUCCAACUUCGCAGCGCUUUCCACCAUAAAUGUUGCGUGAAGCGUAUCUUUUAAAUCUACCUAACAUUAAGACACCCAACAGAAUCGAGACACCUUGACCAGGAAGCCAUGUGCGUAGAUCGCAGUUAAACAACACACAGAGGCCCGGCAGGUGACUUAGUGACCUUUCAGUGUUGAAUGUGAUUGUGCCUUAUUUGCUAAUCCCCUACAAUUCAUCCCAGUAUGUGCAUUAUUGCCAGUGCGACGGUCUUGAUAAGAACUGUAUCGAUAUCGGACAAUUUAUGUUUCUGGGAAAUUCAAGAAAACCUCCGCUUUCCUCUCACUUCCCUUGGAUUAGGGACUUUUGACGUAGCCAAUAAAACUCAAACGUUCAUAGAAACGUAAUAGAUUGAUGUCUCUAGUAGAUCUAUGUCUUGUAAUACUAUCCCUUCUGAAUCGGACCAAUCUUUAUUCGGAUUAACACAUGAAAUCUAUUGUAGCAAAAAUAAAAAGAAAUAUACGUUUAUAGAAUGUA